CAGUCGAACGGACUCAUAUUGAAACCUAGUGAUUUAUGAGUUAGUGGCGGACGGGUGAGUAACGCGUGGAUAACCUGCCGUAUACCGGGGGAUAACACUUGGAAAUAGGUGCUAAUACCGCAUAAGCGCACGGCUCCGCAUGGGGCAGUGUGAAAAACUCCGGUGGUAUACGAUGGAUCCGCGUCUGAUUAGCUAGUUGGCGGGGUAACGGCCCACCAAGGCAGCGAUCAGUAGCCGGCCUGAGAGGGUGGACGGCCACAUUGGGACUGAGACACGGCCCAAACUCCUACGGGAGGCAGCAGUGGGGAAUAUUGCACAAUGGGGGAAACCCUGAUGCAGCGACGCCGCGUGAGUGAAGAAGUAUCUCGGUACGUAAAGCUCUAUCAGCAGGGAAGAAAAUGACGGUACCUGACUAAGAAGCCCCGGCUAACUACGUGCCAGCAGCCGCGGUAAUACGUAGGGGGCAAGCGUUAUCCGGAUUUACUGGGUGUAAAGGGAGCGUAGACGGCAGCACAAGUCUGGAGUGAAAUCCCGGGGCUUAACCCCGGAACUGCUUUGGAAACUGUGCGGCUGGAGUGCAGGAGGGGUAAGCGGAAUUCCUAGUGUAGCGGUGAAAUGCGUAGAUAUUAGGAGGAACACCGGUGGCGAAGGCGGCUUACUGGACUGUAACUGACGUUGAGGCUCGAAAGCGUGGGGAGCAAACAGGAUUAGAUACCCUGGUAGUCCACGCCGUAAACGAUGAUUACUAGGUGUCGGGGGAUCAAGGUCCUCCGGUGCCGGCGCAAACGCAUUAAGUAAUCCACCUGGGGAGUACG
rnacentral:rRNA from 1 species